UACGGAGGAUCCAAGCGUUAUCCGGAAUCAUUGGGUUUAAAGGGUCCGUAGGCGGUUUGGUAAGUCAGUGGUGAAAGCCCAUCGCUCAACGGUGGAACGGCCAUUGAUACUGCCAGACUUGAAUUAUUAGGAAGAACUAGAAUAUGUAGUGUAGCGGUGAAAUGCUUAGAGAUUACAUGGAAUACCAAAUUGCGAAGGCAGUUACUACGUAAUGAUUGACGCUGAUGGACGAAAAGCGUGGGUAGCGAACAGG
rnacentral:rRNA from 1 species